UUCUCGGGCAUCUUUGCAACAAUUACUUUGUUCAAUGUUUAACAUGCAUGGCCACUUUCACUUGCACAUGUUAUUAUUGUAAAAUAAAUUUAUCAAAAUAAAUAUUUCUUGAGGUAAGCGCAGGAUUUUUUACAUUUAAAAAUAGCACAAGACUUAGUAUACAUUAUAAUUGUGAGAUUGGUCAUAUGACUACAUUCUGUACUUUAAGGAUGUA
rnacentral:lncRNA from 1 species